UACGAAGGAGGCAAGCGUUGUUCGGAUUUACUGGGCGUACAGGGAGCGUAGGCGGUUCGGUAAGACCUUUGUGAAAUCUCCAGGCUUAACCUGGAACAGUCGGAGGGGACUGCCGGGCUAGAGGGCGGGAGAGGAGCGCGGAAUUGCCGGUGUAGCGGUGAAAUGCGUAGAGAUCGGGAGGAAGGCCGAUGGCGAAGGCGGCCCUCUGGAACGUUUCUGACGCUGAGGCUCGAAAGCGUGGGGAGCAAACAGG
rnacentral:rRNA from 1 species